AAAAAUGCACAUAUUGUGAGCUCGAUGAGUAGGGCGGGACACGUGGUAUCCUGUCUGAAUAUGGGGGGACCAUCCUCCAAGGCUAAAUACUCCUGACUGACCGAUAGUGAACCAGUACCGUGAGGGAAAGGCGAAAAGAACCCCGGCGAGGGGAGUGAAAAAGAACCUGAAACCGUGUACGUACAAGCAGUGGGAGCACGCUUAGGCGUGUGACUGCGUACCUUUUGUAUAAUGGGUCAGCGACUUAUAUUCUGUAGCAAGGUUAACCGAAUAGGGGAGCCGAAGGGAAACCGAGUCUUAACUGGGCGUUAAGUUGCAGGGUAUAGACCCGAAACCCGGUGAUCUAGCCAUGGGCAGGUUGAAGGUUGGGUAACACUAACUGGAGGACCGAACCGACUAAUGUUGAAAAAUUAGCGGAUGACUUGUGGCUGGGGGUGAAAGGCCAAUCAAACCGGGAGAUAGCUGGUUCUCCCCGAAAGCUAUUUAGGUAGCGCCUCGUGAAUUCAUCUCCGGGGGUAGAGCACUGUUUCGGCAAGGGGGUCAUCCCGACUUACCAACCCGAUGCAAACUGCGAAUACCGGAGAAUGUUAUCACGGGAGACACACGGCGGGUGCUAACGUCCGUCGUGAAGAGGGAAACAACCCAGACCGCCAGCUAAGGUCCCAAAGUCAUGGUUAAGUGGGAAACGAUGUGGGAAGGCCCAGACAGCCAGGAUGUUGGCUUAGAAGCAGCCAUCAUUUAAAGAAAGCGUAAUAGCUCACUGGUCGAGUCGGCCUGCGCGGAAGAUGUAACGGGGCUAAACCAUGCACCGAAGCUGCGGCAGCGACGCUUAUGCGUUGUUGGGUAGGGGAGCGUUCUGUAAGCCUGCGAAGGUGUGCUGUGAGGCAUGCUGGAGGUAUCAGAAGUGCGAAUGCUGACAUAAGUAACGAUAAAGCGGGUGAAAAGCCCGCUCGCCGGAAGACCAAGGGUUCCUGUCCAACGUUAAUCGGGGCAGGGUGAGUCGACCCCUAAGGCGAGGCCGAAAGGCGUAGUCGAUGGGAAACAGGUUAAUAUUCCUGUACUUGGUGUUACUGCGAAGGGGGGACGGAGAAGGCUAUGUUGGCCGGGCGACGGUUGUCCCGGUUUAAGCGUGUAGGCUGGUUUUCCAGGCAAAUCCGGAAAAUCAAGGCUGAGGCGUGAUGACGAGGCACUACGGUGCUGAAGCAACAAAUGCCCUGCUUCCAGGAAAAGCCUCUAAGCAUCAGGUAACAUCAAAUCGUACCCCAAACCGACACAGGUGGUCAGGUAGAGAAUACCAAGGCGCUUGAGAGAACUCGGGUGAAGGAACUAGGCAAAAUGGUGCCGUAACUUCGGGAGAAGGCACGCUGAUAUGUAGGUGAAGCGACUUGCUCGUGGAGCUGAAAUCAGUCGAAGAUACCAGCUGGCUGCAACUGUUUAUUAAAAACACAGCACUGUGCAAACACGAAAGUGGACGUAUACGGUGUGACGCCUGCCCGGUGCCGGAAGGUUAAUUGAUGGGGUCAGCGCAAGCGAAGCUCUUGAUCGAAGCCCCGGUAAACGGCGGCCGUAACUAUAACGGUCCUAAGGUAGCGAAAUUCCUUGUCGGGUAAGUUCCGACCUGCACGAAUGGCGUAAUGAUGGCCAGGCUGUCUCCACCCGAGACUCAGUGAAAUUGAACUCGCUGUGAAGAUGCAGUGUACCCGCGGCAAGACGGAAAGACCCCGUGAACCUUUACUAUAGCUUGACACUGAACAUUGAGCCUUGAUGUGUAGGAUAGGUGGGAGGCUUAGAAGUGUGGACGCCAGUCUGCAUGGAGCCGACCUUGAAAUACCACCCUUUAAUGUUUGAUGUUCUAACGUUGACCCGUAAUCCGGGUUGCGGACAGUGUCUGGUGGGUAGUUUGACUGGGGCGGUCUCCUCCUAAAGAGUAACGGAGGAGCACGAAGGUUGGCUAAUCCUGGUCGGACAUCAGGAGGUUAGUGCAAUGGCAUAAGCCAGCUUGACUGCGAGCGUGACGGCGCGAGCAGGUGCGAAAGCAGGUCAUAGUGAUCCGGUGGUUCUGAAUGGAAGGGCCAUCGCUCAACGGAUAAAAGGUACUCCGGGGAUAACAGGCUGAUACCGCCCAAGAGUUCAUAUCGACGGCGGUGUUUGGCACCUCGAUGUCGGCUCAUCACAUCCUGGGGCUGAAGUAGGUCCCAAGGGUAUGGCUGUUCGCCAUUUAAAGUGGUACGCGAGCUGGGUUUAGAACGUCGUGAGACAGUUCGGUCCCUAUCUGCCGUGGGCGCUGGAGAACUGAGGGGGGCUGCUCCUAGUACGAGAGGACCGGAGUGGACGCAUCACUGGUGUUCGGGUUGUCAUGCCAAUGGCACUGCCCGGUAGCUAAAUGCGGAAGAGAUAAGUGCUGAAAGCAUCUAAGCACGAAACUUGCCCCGAGAUGAGUUCUCCCUGACCCUUUAAGGGUCCUGAAGGAACGUUGAAGACGACGACGUUGAUAGGCCGGGUGUGUAAGCGCAGCGAUGCGUUGAGCUAACCGGUACUAAUGAACCGUGAGG
rnacentral:rRNA from 1 species